rnacentral:tRNA from 1 species
GCCCCUGUAGCUCAGUGGAUAGAGCGCUUGGCUUCGGACCAAGAUGUCGCGGGUUCGAAUCCUGCCAGGGGUG